UCAAUUAUUUUUAGCCUCUGGCUAUAGGAAAUUGUUAGUGGCAGACGGGUGAGUAAUGCGUAGGAAUCUACCUAGUAGUACGGAAUAGCCAUUAGAAAUGGUGGGUAAUACUGUAUAAUCCCCGAGGGGGAAAGAUUUAUCGCUAUUAGAUGAGCCUACGUUAGAUUAGCUAGUUGGUGAGGUAAUGGCUUACCAAGGCUAUGAUCUAUAGCUGGUCUGAGAGGACGAUCAGCCACACUGGAACUGAGAUACGGUCCAGACUCCUACGGGAGGCAGCAGUGGGGAAUAUUGGACAAUGGGCGAAAGCCUGAUCCAGCUAUGCCGCGUGAGUGAAGAAGGCCUUCGGGUUGUAAAACUCUUUCAAUAGGGAAGAUAAUGACGGUACCUAUAAA
rnacentral:rRNA from 1 species